rnacentral:sRNA from 1 species
GACUACCACUACUUUUCCCUUCGUCUCAAUUAUGUCUUGGAAAAAGGCUUUGCGGAUCCCCGGAGGCCUUCGGGCAGCAACUGUGACCUUGAUGCUGGCGAUGCUGAGCACCCCAGUGGCUGAGGGCAGAGGGUCUCCCGAGGAUUUCGUGGUCCAGUUUAAGGCCAUGUGCUACUUCACCAACGGGACAGAGCGCGUGCGUUACGUGACCAGAUACAUCUAUAACCGAGAGGAGUACGCGCGCUUCGACAGCGACGUGGAGGUGUACCGGGCGGUGACGCCGCUGGGACAGUCUAGCGCCGAGUACUGGAACAGCCAGAAGGAAGUCCUGGAGACGAAACGGGCGGAGCUGGACACGGUGUGCAGACACAACUACCAGUUGGAACUCCGCACGACCUUGCAGCGGCGAGGUGAGCGUUGUCGCCUCUCCACGAGGCCCACCCUUGGCCGGGGCCUGAGUCUCUGCGCUGGGAGGGACGAGGGGGCGCGGCCUCUGGAACCUGAGCCCUGUUCGUUCCACCCCAGGGGACAGGAGUUGGCGGCGUGAGUGGUGGGGCAGGUGCAUCAGAGGGGCGGGGAUCUAGGGCAGAGCAGGGGUACAGGCAGAGUUGGUCAGACUGCCUAGUGUCUCCCCAGCCUCCGCGUCCGUCGGCCUAGUCCUCUGCUCUGUACGUUUCUUGCCUCGUGCCUUACCUUCGCUAAGCAGUUCUCUCUGCCCCGAAUGCCCGCCCUCUUUCCCUGCCCGCCUGCCCCACUAGCACUGCCCCGCCCAGCAAGGCCCACGUGCACAGCUCGCGCCGCAGGAAGCUUCAGGCUUGGCCUGGUGGAAUUGGGGCUGCCCCACAACUGCGCGCGGGGCAUCUAGCAAUUUCAGUUGUGAAAUAAGAUAUUUUGACUUUUUGGCUUCAAAUUAUUAUUCAUCGUAAUUCUGUUUUCUUACAUGGCUCUCAUUCAUGGCGGAGCUCUUUGAGGGGAGAGAAUGUUUUAAUCAUUGUAUGCCUGGUAUCUGACACAUUGACUGGCAUGUGGUAUGAGCUCAAUGAUCUUCUGUUAAAUUACUGAAUAAAUGUACUCAGCUGCCCAUCCACUUAGGUUCAAGAAAAAACAGAGGUAAACAGAACAUUAAAAAUGGACUUUAUUAAUUAUUUUCUAUCAUUUUGCUUAAUGCUUUAAAGUAAACUCUUAUUGACUUGGAUCUAAAUAGAGUUUGUGAAUACAAAGUCUGAGGAAAAAAGUGUUUGCUAAAAAUAAAAACAACGCUUGAAUGAUGUUGUAAGGCAGAGUUUUAAUUUCUUAGAAAAGCUGAACAAAUGGCACAAUGCAAAGAGCAGAAGUUUUGGAAUAAAUAGAUUGAAGCCAUUAAAUUAUUGGAUAAAAAUAGUUUCAGGUUGCUUUUGGCCUAGGUUCUCCCCUCCCCCCAUCACUAUCCACUUCAGGAAUAAACAUGCUGAAAGUCAAUUUUACCCAUUUAGUGAGCACUUAUUUCUAGGCAGUUGCCUUAUCAAAUACCAUCUAUGUUAUGUCAUUUAAUCUCACAGUUACCUGUGCAUUGGAGAUUAGCAUCACCACUUUAUAUAUCCUAAUAUUAGUACAUGAUAAACACUUUAAGUAAUCAGCCCACAAUUACUCACCAAGACCUUAAGCUCCCAAGUACAAAACGUUAUAUUCUUCACUACACAUCUAUAGAGUCAAAGGGACAUAAAGCCUUGUUAAAGCCAGUUUUGACUAGAAGCAGCAAUGAGUCUAUUCCUGUUUGUUCUCCAUGUUAAUGGGACAAAAUGAUACUUUCAAGGCAUUGAAAAUUUAUGAUUAAUCAUCAAUCCCUAGUCUGACUCCAGUGUUACCUAUGCAGAUUCACAAAACUUUUAGUUUACUUUAUACUCCCUUGCCUUCUUUUGACUUACAUCCUAUUGCCAGCAAGUACUUAUAUUUUUGCUGUUUCAGUUCUAUUUCCAUAAAAUUUAUUUUAUCAUCUUUUCUCAUAAAUUUGUGCCCUCUAUUUUUACUCCCAAUCUGUGUAAGAUGAACAAAUCUUAUAAGGCCACAUAGCUGACUGUGAUUCAGGUGGCCUCCAGGAAGGAGAACCUAAAGAAAAGUUCAAGUCCAAGCAGAAACUGUGAUUCCUUCUGGAUGAUGGCUCAAGAGUGCCGUUUAAUUGGGGUGCAACCUGCUGACCUCAGCAAAUGUAUAUGUUCACAUUACAGGCUCAUUAACUCAGGCCGACCUCUGCAAGGAUCUCAGAAUAUUUUCUACAGAUAACAUGCAUGAUAAUGUCUGAUUUCAGACAAAAAAGUAAUUCUCAAUAGCAAGGGAAUGGAGUAGGGUAGACAGCUAGUAAUUAAACUCACUUGUGUGUUAAAAAUAAAUUAAGGAAAAAAAGAAAAUGAGAGAACAUAUUACUAAAUAAAGAAAGCAUACAUUAAAUAUUUACUAUAGUUUCACACUAAGAGAAUAAAGGAAAUGCAAGGAAGUGGCCUGAAAGGUAAAGGAUGAGCUGUGUACAGAGGCAGGGAAAGGUGUGCCAUUUUUUUUACUAUGAGCAGCAAUCUGAGAAGAUAAAGGAAUCAAGUUAUGGGCAAACAUGAUGUUUGAUCAGUGUUAUUUGUUUUGAAGGCCUGCCUAAUUUUUUUUUCAAAUAUUACAAACUUUUGAAAUAACAUUCUUUUUGUUUUUGGGUGUCUGUUACUAGACUGCGCAUUCUGUAAAGAUAGGGACCAUGGUGUAUUGUUUAUCUUUGGAUUCUCAGUGAUUGUCAUAUUUAUAUUUGACGAAUGAAUCUUAAUCCAAGACUUGGACUCCAGGUAUCUUUCCACUCUGGUUCCAAGGAGGGACCCUUCCCAAUGGUAGACGUGCUGUGUGGUCUCACAUCUCACUCUUAUGUAUUUUCCUGUCUGUUACUGCCUUCAGUGGAGCCCACAGUGACCAUCUCCCCAUCCAGGACAGAGGCCCUCAACCACCACAACCUGCUGGUCUGCUCAGUGACAGAUUUCUAUCCAGCCCAGAUCAAAGUCCGGUGGUUUCGGAAUGACCAGGAGGAGACAACCGGCGUUGUGUCCACCCCCCUUAUUAGGAACGGUGACUGGACAUUCCAGAUCCUGGUGAUGCUGGAAAUAACUCCCCAGCGUGGAGACGUCUACACCUGCCACGUGGAGCACCCCAGCCUCCAGAGCCCCAUUACUGUGGAGUGGCGUAAGGGGAUAUUGAGUUUCUGUUACUAUGGGCCCCACAAGACAAAGGGCAGAGCUCCUUCUGACCCAUCCCUUCCCAUCCCUUAUCCCUGAUGUCACUACUGAGCUGGGAAUCACAGGAGACUAGAGCACCUCUUGCUCCAUGGCAAGUGCAUCAGAAGAAUCCUGAUCUCAUCACCUUUCCAGAUGCUAGGGAAAUUACUCUACAUACUGUUUCUCUGGAUCCCAGUCCUGAUAGCUCAGAGGAACUGAUUAUUAGGGCUGGUGACUGGGAUCUUAGGGUUUAAGGUUAUGGAUGAGUUCCUGAGGAGUGGAGAUCUGCUUCCCCGCUCUCUCACCUACUCACUGUACCCAAGGACCUAUUGGCUGGCCUUUCCUUCCCUUAGGGGUGGUCUGAAUGGAGAACUAGGUUCCUUUGACGCCUUCACCUCCUGCUUCUCAGACUGGACUUCAGCUCCUCAGCAGGGAUGCUAUGGGGUGUGGGGACAAACACUGACACUCAGGCUCUGCUUCUCAGGGGCUCAGUCUGAAUCUGCCCAGAGUAAGAUGGUGAGUGGCGUUGGAGGCUUCGUGCUGGGGCUGAUCUUCCUCGGGCUGGGCCUUAUUAUCCAUCACAGGAGUCAGAAAGGGCUCCUGCACUGACUCCUGAGACUAUUUUAACUGGGAUUGGUUACCACUCUUCUGUAAUGCCUGCUUGUCCCUGCCCAGAAUUCCCAACUGCCUGUGUCAGCCUGUCCCCCUGAGAUCAGAGUUCUACAGUGGCUGUCAUGCAGCCACCAGGUCAUCUCCUUUCAUCCCCACCCCAAGGCUCUGGCUGUGACUCUGCUUCCUGCACUGACCCAGAGCCUCUGCCUGUGCAUGGCCAGCUGCGUCUACUCAGGUCCCAAGGGGUUUCUGUUUCUAUUCUCUCCUCAGACUGCUCAAGAGAAGCACAUGAAAACCAUUACCUGACUUUAGAGCUUUUUUACAUAAUUAAACAUGAUCCUAAGUUAUCCAUAUUCUCAACUUCCUUAAUUGAGCAGAGGCAGGAAAUCACUGCAGAAUGAAGGAACAUACCUUGAGGUGACCCAGCCAACCUGUGGCCAGAAGGAGGGUUGUACCUUGAAAAGACACUGAAAGAAUUUGGGGUACAAAGUCAGGGUGGGCAGAGGAGGUAGAAAAUCAGCUCAGUUGUCACAUCAUUCUUGGUUCUUUCAUAUUGAUGUUCAGUGCAGUGGCCUGAGAAUAUCCCAGCCUCUCUUCUGGUUUGAUGAGUGCUGUGUAAGUAAGCAUGGUGGAAUUGUUUGGGGACAGAUAUAGUGACCCUUGGUCACUGGUGUUUCAAACAUUCUGGCAAGUCUCAUCAAUCAAGAAUAAUUUUUACUUUUAAGAAAGCAUAACCAGCAAUAUAAGUACUAUUUUUGAUUCUAAA